rnacentral:rRNA from 2 species
GACGAGCCUGACAAACGUUAUUCGGAAUUACUGGGCUUAAAGGGUGCGUAGGCGGUGUGGUAAGUCAGGCGUGAAAUACCUCAGCUUAACUGAGGAACUGCGUCCGAUACUACCAUGCUAGAGUGAGACAGAGGUGAGUGGAACUGAGGGUGGAGCGGUGAAAUGCGUUGAUAUCCUCAGGAACACCGGUGGCGAAGGCGACUCACUGGGUCUCAACUGACGCUGAUGCACGAAAGCUAGGGUAGCAAACGGG